rnacentral:sRNA from 34 species
GUAUCUGAAGCCUGACGAGGAUGAGAACCUCCGGGGGCAAGAGGUUCGACCCGAGCGAAGCGAGAGAACGUUGCGCCAGCAACGGCCCGCAGUGGCAAGUCAUCCUCUGUCACCGGCAG